GAUGAACGCUGGCGGCGUGCCUAAUACAUGCAAGUCGAGCGAACAGACGAGGAGCUUGCUCCUCUGACGUUAGCGGCGGACGGGUGAGUAACACGUGGAUAACCUACCUAUAAGACUGGGAUAACUUCGGGAAACCGGAGCUAAUACCGGAUAAUAUAUUGAACCGCAUGGUUCAAUAGUGAAAUACGGUUUUUCUGUCUCUUAUAGAUUGAUCCGCGCCGCAUUAGCUAGUUGGUAAGGUAACGGCUUACCAAGGCAACGAUGCGUAGCCGACCUGAGAGGGUGAUCGGCCACACUGGAACUGAGACACGGUCCAGACUCCUACGGGAGGCAGCAGUAGGGAAUCUGCCGCAAUGGGCGAAAGCCUGACGGAGCAACGCCGCGUGAGUGAUGAAGGUCUUCGGAUCGUAAAACUCUGUUAUUAGGGAAGAACAAAUGUGUAAGUAACUAUGCACGUCUUGACGGUACCUAAUCAGAAAGCCACGGCUAACUACGUG
rnacentral:rRNA from 1 species